CGACCUCAGAUCGGACGAGAUUACCCGCUGAAUUUAAGCAUAUUACUAAGCGGAGGAAAAGAAACUAACAAGGAUUUCCCCAGUAACGGCGAGUGAAGCGGGAAAAGCCCAGCACCGAAUCCCCCAGUGUCACGCUGGCGGGAACUGUGGUGUGUGGGACGCCACCAGUCGCGCCGGAGGGUGCCGAAGUCCUCCUGAUCGGGGCUUCACCCAGAGCGGGUGUAAGGCCUUUGCUGGCACCUCUCCGCGCGGCCGCGAGCGUCUCAGGAGUCGGGUUGUUUGGGAAUGCAGCCCAAAGCGGGUGGAAACUCCAUCUAAGGCUAAAUACAUGCACGAGUCCGAUAGCGGA
rnacentral:rRNA from 1 species